ensembl:lncRNA
CUUCUAACCUUCCUCUUGCCCUGUCCUCCUUGGUUGCUGACAGUUGGUUUGUGGCAGAGGGGAAUUCCAGCCCACUUUAGGGGAAUGAAGAGGUGGGUUCCUGGCGCAGAAGGUGAAGUCCAGGAGGGAAAUGCGCGGCUUAAGAGCACAUGCUGUUGAGUUAGAAACCAAACUGGGACUAUGACCUCAGCUCUAACACUGAGUGGAAGGCUCUUUCUGUUCCUCUCAUGCUGCUCUUCCACCUGAAAAGGAAAAGAAGACCUCCCUUAAUCCCUGUCACACGGCUCCGCGCUCCCAAGAAGAGCCAGCUGACAGAGCCCAGCACCUCUUGUUGCAGGCCUUCUGCACUUCAGGCUGUCACCUGACACUCAUGAAAGAGAGAGAUCAUUUUCUGGAUCCUGUUUGAUUUGAGAAGCAGCUGACAUCUGGGAUGAGCUUUCUCCUCUAUGUCUCCAGGAAAAAGAUCUGGAGAUGGUGGGAGUGCGGAACCGAGCGCCUGAGAAAUGACCACAGGACCAAGAACAGCCAACAAGCUGCUGGGGACCGUCAUUGCACCGGCCUGAUGAUGGGAUAAUUAACACAAAAGCCGUGUCUAGGAGCGAAAGACACAAGCAGCUCUUGGGAGCGGUCACUAAAGGCAGUUUCUUAAAAGCCCUGAGAAGUAUGAUUUGAAAGAGACUGCUUCUGGAAUGUCGAGGCCUAUAUGUUGCAAUACUCAUUUUCUAGUCUUUUCUGGGGUUUAGCUGGCCCUUGUCUUCCAUUCAUGGUAGCACUAAGACCAAGAACUACCUGAGCUCUCAGAGGUCCUGGAGUGAACAGGCCAGUGUUUUAACAACUCAUAAGUCUCUGAGUGGGUGCUGUGUCGAUGGACGUUUAAGCUAAUCUUUCAUCCCCGAGAAAUUGCAUCUAUAAAAGUUGGGUUCUGCAUUUGAAAAACUUGGAUCAGUUGGUUAUCCCAGAAACAAUACCCCCCCACCCCUCCCCGACAAUGAACCUUUAAAAUCCUGGUAAAAACCAGAGUUCUCUUGCAUCAACCUUUUGUCCUGAGUGUUGAGCAGGAAGAUGCUGCCUGGUGGAAGGAGGAAGGAAAUGAGUGAGAUUCCUCUUGUAGAUUACCUCCAAGCUGUCACCAAACCAUGCUGCUCCCUUCAGAACAGCCUCAGAAAGACGGGUGACCUUCAACUACCCAGGACUUCCCCACUAUGCCCCACAUGAAUCCUCACCAUGUUUGCCAUUUAAUC